rnacentral:tRNA from 3 species
GGGCGUGUGGUCUAGUGGUAUGAUUCUCGCUUUGGGCGUUAGUGCAAGCAUGCGAGAGGCCCUGGGUUCAAUUCCCAGUAUGCCCC